rnacentral:rRNA from 1 species
CUGCAUGGAGCCGACCUUGAAAUACCACCCUUUAAUGUUUGAUGUUCUAACGUUGACCCGUAAUCCGGGUUGCGGACAGUGUCUGGUGGGUAGUUUGACUGGGGCGGUCUCCUCCUAAAGAGUAACGGAGGAGCACGAAGGUUGGCUAAUCCUGGUCGGACAUCAGGAGGUUAGUGCAAUGGCAUAAGCCAGCUUGACUGCGAGCGUGACGGCGCGAGCAGGUGCGAAAGCAGGUCAUAGUGAUCCGGUGGUUCUGAAUGGAAGGGCCAUCGCUCAACGGAUAAAAGGUACUCCGGGGAUAACAGGCUGAUACCGCCCAAGAGUUCAUAUCGACGGCGGUGUUUGGCACCUCGAUGUCGGCUCAUCACAUCCUGGGGCUGAAGUAGGUCCCAAGGGUAUGGCUGUUCGCCAUUUAAAGUGGUACGCGAGCUGGGUUUAGAACGUCGUGAGACAGUUCGGUCCCUAUCUGCCGUGGGCGCUGGAGAACUGAGGGGGGCUGCUCCUAGUACGAGAGGACCGGAGUGGACGCAUCACUGGUGUUCGGGUUGUCAUGCCAAUGGCACUGCCCGGUAGCUAAAUGCGGAAGAGAUAAGUGCUGAAAGCAUCUAAGCACGAAACUUGCCCCGAGAUGAGUUCUCCCUGACUCCUUGAGAGUCCUGAAGGAACGUUGAAGACGACGACGUUGAUAGGCCGGGUGUGUAAGCGCAGCGAUGCGUUGAGCUAACCGGUACUAAUGAACCGUGAGG